GGGUGUAUAGCUCAGUGGUAGAGCAAAUGAUUAGCAUGCACAAGGUCCUGGGUUCAAUCCCCAGCACCUCUG
rnacentral:tRNA from 1 species